CAGACAGGGUGUAUCGGUCGCUCCGCUUAGGCGGGGAGGAAAGUCCGGACUCCAUAGGGCGGAACGUCCCGUGGUUAACGCGGGAAUUCGCGUGCGAUAUCGCGCGAAAUGGAAAGUGCCACAGAGAAUAGACCGCUUCGGCUUGCCGGAGUAAGGGUGAAACGGUGAGGUAAGAGCUCACCGCCCCAAGGGAGACCGAGGGGGCAGGGUAAACCCCGUUCGGAGCAAGAUCAAAUAGGAGACGUUGAGGCGGCCCGCCUCGGUAGCGUUUCGGGUUGAUCGCGUAGAUAAAUGACCGACCUGUAUAGGAACAGAAUCCGGCUUACCGCCCUGUCUGCUCU
rnacentral:RNase_P_RNA from 1 species